rnacentral:lncRNA from 1 species
GGCAUUUUUUUACUCAAGUAAGAGAACAAAAUAAGACUAAGUGUAAAACUUAUGGGAAAUUAUUUGUUCAUAAAUUUACUGGAGAUCGUAGCUGCACAGGUAGUUUGGUUAGGCACAUAAAAAUACACCCUAGAGAUAGAGCUAGAUUUUUUCAAUUGCAAGCGCAGCAAGAGGGGCCAAGUGUAGAUUCUCAAGUUAACCCUAGUACAGGUUCAAAUCUAGUUCAACCAUGAAUUAACACUAUCACCGGAGGUAUUUUAUAUUACGAUCCAAAUAGAGAUCGUGAAGAAUUAGCAAAAAUGAAUACUGUUAUGUGCUUGCCUUAUACCUUUGCUUCUAAUCUUAAUUGGGUUCAUUAUAUUAGAAGAGUUUUUAAUCCUACUUAUAAAGUUUGGCCUCGCGCAACAGUUAAGGCCGAUAUUUAUAAACUCAAGCAUGAAUAUGAACAAUAUUUGUGCUAUUUAUUUACUCAUAUAUCUAAUCGUAUUUUUACUACAACUGAUAUUGGUAGAAGUAAUAAUGACUGUGAUUAUCUAACUGUUACAAGUCAUUGGAUAGAUGAGGACUGGACUAUGCAAAAACGCAUAAUGACUGUGACUAUCUAACUAUUACAAGUCAUUGGAUAGAUGAGGACUGGACAAUGCAAAAACACAUAAUUGCAUAUAGAAUAAUUAAUUCACGUCACACGGGCAGGUUUAUAGCUAACACUGUUUCUGAUAUAUAUAUGUAGAUAUUUUUGCUUUUGCGAUAAAAUAAUAGCAAUUUCUAUGGAUAAUGCUUCUAGUAACACUAGUGCAAUAUGCAUGUUAACACAAACCCUUAAUCCUGCAUUUAGUAAUAUUUUCCAUUUUAGAUGUAUUUGUCAUAUUUAUCAUUUAAUUGUUGGUGGUAUGCGAAUAUUAAACAUAGAAAUUGAAAAGGUUCGAAUGGCUCUUAAUUGGCUAUUUUAUUCAAACCGUAGAACUAGACUUAGAGAGUAUUUUAAAAAAGUGUGAUGAAUCUGGCCUUAGAGAAAGAAAGGUUCCUAAACCUUGCCCGACUAGGUGGAAUUGUAUCUACGAAAGUUUAGUAGUUGCGUAUGAAUAUUUAAACCCAAUUAAUGCUACGUUUAAUUCUCGGGUAGGUGGUGAGGAUGAUGAUAAAAUGCUUACAUGUGAUAAAUAUGAUGAAAUUUCACAUCUAAAUGAGCUUCAAGUUUAGUUGUCACAGGGACUAGAAAAGGAGAAUCCAGACGGCUCUUUCGAUCUUUUGGAAUGGUGGAAGUCAAGGGAAAAAUAUUUUCCCGUUCUUGCAAGGAUGGCUUGGGAUGUUUUAUCAAUUCAUGCUUCAACUGUUGCAUUGGAGAGCGCUUUCAGUCAAGCAAGGCUACAAAUCGGUGAUCAUAGAACGGCGAUGAGGGAGAGCUUGGAAAAAUCGGUGCUUUUUAGAGAUUGGAUCCACGCGG